rnacentral:rRNA from 1 species
GUGCCAGCCGCCGCGGUAAUACGGAGGGUGCAAGCGUUAUCCGGAUUUAUUGGGUUUAAAGGGUGCGCAGGCGGGCUGAUCAGUCAGUGGUGAAAACCCGGGGCUCAACUCCGGACCUGCCAUUGAUACUGUCAGUCUUGAAUUCGGUUGAAGUGGGCGGAAUGUGUCAUGUAGCGGUGAAAUGCAUAGAUAUGACACAGAACACCGAUCGCGAAGGCAGCUCACUAAGCCGACAUUGACGCUCAUGCACGAAAGCGUGGGGAGCGAACAGGAUUAGAUACCCCUGUAGUCC